rnacentral:rRNA from 1 species
AAUCCAUAGGUUAAUGAGGCGAACCGGGGGAACUGAAACAUCUAAGUACCCCGAGGAAAAGAAAUCAACCGAGAUUCCCCCAGUAGCGGCGAGCGAACGGGGAGGAGCCCAGAGCCUGAAUCAGUGUGUGUGUUAGUGGAAGCGUCUGGAAAGGCGCGCGAUACAGGGUGACAGCCCCGUACACAAAAAUGCACAUAUUGUGAGCUCGAUGAGUAGGGCGGGACACGUGGUAUCCUGUCUGAAUAUGGGGGGACCAUCCUCCAAGGCUAAAUACUCCUGACUGACCGAUAGUGAACCAGUACCGUGAGGGAAAGGCGAAAAGAACCCCGGCGAGGGGAGUGAAAAAGAACCUGAAACCGUGUACGUACAAGCAGUGGGAGCCUCUUAAUGGGGUGACUGCGUACCUUUUGUAUAAUGGGUCAGCGACUUAUAUUCUGUAGCAAGGUUAACCGAAUAGGGGAGCCGAAGGGAAACCGAGUCUUAACUGGGCGUUAAGUUGCAGGGUAUAGACCCGAAACCCGGUGAUCUAGCCAUGGGCAGGUUGAAGGUUGGGUAACACUAACUGGAGGACCGAACCGACUAAUGUUGAAAAAUUAGCGGAUGACUUGUGGCUGGGGGUGAAAGGCCAAUCAAACCGGGAGAUAGCUGGUUCUCCCCGAAAGCUAUUUAGGUAGCGCCUCGUGAAUUCAUCUCCGGGGGUAGAGCACUGUUUCGGCAAGGGGGUCAUCCCGACUUACCAACCCGAUGCAAACUGCGAAUACCGGAGAAUGUUAUCACGGGAGACACACGGCGGGUGCUAACGUCCGUCGUGAAGAGGGAAACAACCCAGACCGCCAGCUAAGGUCCCAAAGUCAUGGUUAAGUGGGAAACGAUGUGGGAAGGCCCAGACAGCCAGGAUGUUGGCUUAGAAGCAGCCAUCAUUUAAAGAAAGCGUAAUAGCUCACUGGUCGAGUCGGCCUGCGCGGAAGAUGUAACGGGGCUAAACCAUGCACCGAAGCUGCGGCAGCGACACUAUGUGUUGUUGGGUAGGGGAGCGUUCUGUAAGCCUGUGAAGGUGGCCUGUGAGGGUUGCUGGAGGUAUCAGAAGUGCGAAUGCUGACAUAAGUAACGAUAAAGCGGGUGAAAAGCCCGCUCGCCGGAAGACCAAGGGUUCCUGUCCAACGUUAAUCGGGGCAGGGUGAGUCGACCCCUAAGGCGAGGCCGAAAGGCGUAGUCGAUGGGAAACAGGUUAAUAUUCCUGUACUUGGUGUUACUGCGAAGGGGGGACGGAGAAGGCUAUGUUGGCCGGGCGACGGUUGUCCCGGUUUAAGCGUGUAGGCUGGUUUUCCAGGCAAAUCCGGAAAACCAAGGCUGAGGCGUGAUGACGAGGCACUACGGUGCUGAAGCGACAAAUGCCCUGCUUCCAGGAAAAGCCUCUAAGCAUCAGGUAACAUCAAAUCGUACCCCAAACCGACACAGGUGGUCAGGUAGAGAAUACCAAGGCGCUUGAGAGAACUCGGGUGAAGGAACUAGGCAAAAUGGUGCCGUAACUUCGGGAGAAGGCACGCUGAUAUGUAGGUGAAGCGACUUGCUCGUGGAGCUGAAAUCAGUCGAAGAUACCAGCUGGCUGCAACUGUUUAUUAAAAACACAGCACUGUGCAAACACGAAAGUGGACGUAUACGGUGUGACGCCUGCCCGGUGCCGGAAGGUUAAUUGAUGGGGUUAGCGGUAACGCGAAGCUCUUGAUCGAAGCCCCGGUAAACGGCGGCCGUAACUAUAACGGUCCUAAGGUAGCGAAAUUCCUUGUCGGGUAAGUUCCGACCUGCACGAAUGGCGUAAUGAUGGCCAGGCUGUCUCCACCCGAGACUCAGUGAAAUUGAACUCGCUGUGAAGAUGCAGUGUACCCGCGGCAAGACGGAAAGACCCCGUGAACCUUUACUAUAGCUUGACACUGAACAUUGAGCCUUGAUGUGUAGGAUAGGUGGGAGGCUUUGAAGUGUGGACGCCAGUCUGCAUGGAGCCGACCUUGAAAUACCACCCUUUAAUGUUUGAUGUUCUAACGUUGGCCCGUAAUCCGGGUUGCGGACAGUGUCUGGUGGGUAGUUUGACUGGGGCGGUCUCCUCCUAAAGAGUAACGGAGGAGCACGAAGGUUGGCUAAUCCUGGUCGGACAUCAGGAGGUUAGUGCAAUGGCAUAAGCCAGCUUGACUGCGAGCGUGACGGCGCGAGCAGGUGCGAAAGCAGGUCAUAGUGAUCCGGUGGUUCUGAAUGGAAGGGCCAUCGCUCAACGGAUAAAAGGUACUCCGGGGAUAACAGGCUGAUACCGCCCAAGAGUUCAUAUCGACGGCGGUGUUUGGCACCUCGAUGUCGGCUCAUCACAUCCUGGGGCUGAAGUAGGUCCCAAGGGUAUGGCUGUUCGCCAUUUAAAGUGGUACGCGAGCUGGGUUUAGAACGUCGUGAGACAGUUCGGUCCCUAUCUGCCGUGGGCGCUGGAGAACUGAGGGGGGCUGCUCCUAGUACGAGAGGACCGGAGUGGACGCAUCACUGGUGUUCGGGUUGUCAUGCCAAUGGCACUGCCCGGUAGCUAAAUGCGGAAGAGAUAAGUGCUGAAAGCAUCUAAGCACGAAACUUGCCCCGAGAUGAGUUCUCCCUGAGACUUAGAGUCUCCUGAAGGAACGUUGAAGACGACGACGUUGAUAGGCCGGGUGUGUAAGCGCAGCGAUGCGUUGAGCUAACCGGUACUAAUGAACCGUGAGGCUUAACCUUACAACGCCGAAG